CUCUGCAUAAGUGUUCCUUUCGCAUAAAAUCGAUUGAAAAAAAAAAAAUUAAUUAAAACAAAAAUUAAUAUUGACAGGUUUAUCAACAUAAAGAGAACACUGUAGGGUACCCUGUAUAUUGUUUCUGUGAUUGAUUUAAGAUAUGCGUACAUAAUUAAUAACUAUUAAAACAAAGACGUUCAGGAAUUUAAACAAAAGUUGUUUUUAA